CCUACGGGAGGCAGCAGUGGGGAAUAUUGCACAAUGGGGGAAACCCUGAUGCAGCGACGCCGCGUGAGUGAAGACGUAAUUCGUUACGUAAAGCUCUAUCAGCAGGGAAGAAAUACUGACCUUACGGUCAGCAGACGGUACCUGAGUAAGAAGCGCCGGCUAACGACGUGCCAGCAGCCGCGGUAAUACGCAGGGGGCAAGCGUUAUCCGGAUUUACUGGGGGUAAAGGGAGCGUAGACGGUGCGCCAAGUGUCGAGUGAAAUGCCGCAGCUUAACCGCGGAACUGCUGUGGAAACUGGCUAACUAGAGUGCGCGAGGGGUAGGCGGAAUUCGUGGUGUAGCGGUGAAAUGCGUAGAUAUUAGGCGGAACACCGAUGGCGAAGGCGGCUUACUGGCGCGUAACUGACGUUGAGGCUCGAAAGCGUGGGGAGCGAACAGGAUUAGAUACCCCGGUAGUC
rnacentral:rRNA from 1 species